rnacentral:rRNA from 1 species
AAGCGGUGGAGCAUGUGGUUAAUUCGAAGCAACGCGCAGAACCUUACCUGGUCUUGACAUCUCGGGAAUCAUUUGGAAACAUAUGAGUGCCUCGCAAGAGGAGCCGAUGACAGGUGCUGCAUGGCUGUCGUCAGCUCGUGUCGUGAGAUGUUGGGUUAAGUCCCGCAACGAGCGCAACCCUUGUCUUUAGUUGCCAUCAUUAAGUUGGGCACUCUAAAGAGACUGCCGGUGUCAAACCGGAGGAAGGUGGGAUGACGUCAAGUCCUCAUGGCCUUUAUGACCAGGGCUACACACGUACUACAAUGGCAGGUACAAAGGGCAGCCACUUAGCGAUAAGGCGCGAAUCCCAUAAAACCUGUCUCAGUCCGGAUUGGAGUCUGCAACUCGACUCCAUGAAGUUGGAAUCGCUAGUAAUCGCAGAUCAGCACGCUGCGGUGAAUACGUUCCCGGGCCUU